ensembl:lincRNA
GGUGGCCGCCGCCUCGCUCCGCCCCGGGGAACUGAGCGCGCGGCCAGCCAGCCUGCCAGAGAGACGCCAGCCGCCGGCGGCGCUAGCACCUCGGAGGAGGGUGGCCGAAGCGAGUGGAGCGCAGCGCUGGGAGCCGGACUGGGGGUGGGGAAACCAGCCCGGUCCAGGCGAGGGCCACCCCCGGUCCUCUGCCCUCGCACCCCGCCAGGGCCAGUUCUCUCCCCAUCCUUUAAACUCCUGAGCUUGGAGAAAGUGAACUCUAAAAACCAGUCUUUCUCUAUGUGAAUGCCAAACCUUGUGGAGAAUUUGUGUGGUGGAGUUUCUCUCAUCUCAGGUGUGACCUGCACUCUCCUUGAAAACCUGCACCUGUCUGAUUCUCAGAAUUCCAUGUUCUUCCAACGACAUUGACAGAUAUUUGAUGUGUUAAAGCAUUAAAAAAAAAAAAGGAAAAUAUUUGCAAUGUGUAGUGAGUGAUAUUUUCCAUGAAGGAAACCUUAAUUGAAAAUGUGUAAUUUCUGAAUUCCAAGGGAAGAAACAACUAUUAGACUAUAUAUAUUCCAAGUAUGUAUAUAUGUAACUAUAUAUGAUCAUUACCUACAUAUUAUACAUGUAUAACUUUUUAAUUCUUAAUUCCAUUUCCUGGACUUGGUAGUUUCUUUUAACUAUGAUGCUCAUGGCUUGCAUACACUCAGAAGCCGACAGAUAGAAGGGACUGGAGGAUCUGCCCAAUUCAAUUGUCAGGUAAAGGGGAUUAUGCAGAGCUUUAUUUUAUUGUGACUUGAAUAAAAGGUUAGAUUCUCCAGCCUGUAGGGAGAAUUCACCUUUUUAAAGAGAGUGGACUGACUUACUCAACUUAGUAUGUUGCUCACCUCCCCAAGCAUCUGAGAUUCCUAGGUGACAUUUGUAUGUUCUGUUUUGGCUUGUUAGUUCUCACUUUUGAACACAGCUCUGGACUUUUUCACCUCUAAAAAAUUUGAUGUUAGUGUUUUAAAAUUAAAGAACCUUGUUAAUACUAUAAAUGUAAACUUAAAUUUCUUUGAGUGUACUGUUCUUUUCCUUAUGUUGGAUAUCUGAUUUCUGAUACUCACUUUUUGAGUUAACAAAAUAUAAUCUAGUGGUGAACUUUAUAACUUUCACAAAUGAAGUAAUAGAUUUUGGUAUAAUAGCCAUAUAGAUAUUGAGAAGGAAGUUUAUGGGUAAUAAAUUAAUGAGUUUAUGUUUGUGUGUGCUCAUUUUUUCUUUCUCCGUGUGAUGCUAUUAGGUGUUGGUGUCUUAUCCAUUGUCUUAGCUCCCUUCAAAUACAAUGUAUUUCAUAAACCCUAUCUGGACUUUCCAAACAAGGUGUGAGUUGAUCUUUAAACUUCUGCAUAAAGAGGCUUAUAAACCGCUCACAGCACCUACUUGAUGCCAUUUUGUAUAAUAGUUAUUUGUGUACUUGUAUUAUGUUCCCAUUAAGUUGUAGUUCCUUGAGUGUUGUUAAUGGUGAUCUGUCCUCACCUCUUAGCCAAUUCUUUUAUAUAAUAGAGAGAGUGUUUAAACAUGUUUGCUAAAUUAAAUUUCUGACCCAUGGUAGAAAAAACGUAAGUAGGUGGACAUUUUUGUGCUCUUGACUAGGAAUAGCUCAUUCAAAGCACCCAACAGAAGCCCGUACUGACUGGCUCUAUACCAGGGCACUGGGGUUGAUAAUUCAUGUAGAAGUAAUUGUUAACCUCCUUUUACAGAUAAGGAGAUAAUGUUGGUAAAUCUUAACUACUAAUAAAAGUAUAAGUAAUAGGGACUUCAUCAUAAU